CAGUAGCCGCGGUAAUACGAAGGGGGCUAGCGUUGCUCGGAAUGACUGGGCGUAAAGGGCGCGUAGGCGGUUGGUACAGUCAGAUGUGAAAUUCCUGGGCUUAACCUGGGGGCUGCAUUUGAUACGUGCUGGCUUGAGUGUGGAAGAGGGUUGUGGAAUUCCCAGUGUAGAGGUGAAAUUCGUAGAUAUUGGGAAGAACACCGGUGGCGAAGGCGGCAACCUGGUCCAUGACUGACGCUGAGGCGCGAAAGCGUGGGGAGCAAACAGGAUUAGAUACCCGGGUAGUCCCUGUCUCUUAUAA
rnacentral:rRNA from 1 species